AAAUUACCAAUUAACAUUCCAAUGUAAGCUGAGUUUGGUUCGUCUUCCUGUCCCCGCCGCGAGUUGACUCAGAGCUCUCACACUGUUAUCAACCUAACCCAUCUCUCUCUCUCUCGCUCGCUCUCUGGAUAUGGAUUGCAAUUAACAAUAAAUCUCAGGUUGAAAUCAUAAGAAGGUUUGGUGUCUAUGAAAAUCAGAGGAAGUGUGCCCUAUGAACCGUGGAAGCUAUUUAUUUGAAGCCAUUUGGUUUUCAAAUCCCCACACUCAUCCAGAAUCUAGUCCUUCAGAAGGAUGGUGACUUCAAGAGCACUGAGAUAGAGGGUCUGAUACAUGGUGGAGCCAGACUUUUCUGGGUCUCUUGGCUUCUUAAUAUUAGUCAGUGACAAACACGUGACAAUUCAUAUUGGUAAUGGUGGGUCUACGUCGCAUGGAAGCAGUUAGAAGGCCCGAGAUGACGUGAACCAACGGUUAUUCACAAUUCAAAUUCAAGAGGGAACCCCAACUGCAAAGAAGGCGUCGUGGGAGCAGAUUAUUCAGGGCCAUAACCAAUGAUCGUGGAAGGGCAUUUCGAUAGUUAGAAGUCUACUUCAACGGUUACCAUUGGAGAGUAUAAAUAGAAGAGAAGGCCAAUAGAAGAACCCAGACUAAAAUCCAAAAGCCAAUUGUUUACUUCAUAUUUUUCUUUCCAGUCAUUGCAUUUCCAGUUCUUUACUUCCAGUACUGCAUUUUAUUUUCUAAAAGUAGUUUCAAGUAGUCGUUGUUGUAAACCUUUUCAAGAUUGGGUCAUUUCAUUGUAAGUUCUUAUUUACUUAAUGAAAUUUAAUUUCUAAAUUAUUUGGUA